rnacentral:rRNA from 1 species
UACGUAGGGGGCAAGCGUUGUCCGGAAUCAUUGGGCGUAAAGAGCGCGUAGGCGGCCCAGUAAGUCCGCUCUGAAAGUCAGGGGCUCAACCCCUGGAUGCGGGUGGAUACUGCUGGGCUAGAGUCCGGAAGAGGUGAGUGGAAUUCCUGGUGUAGCGGUGAAAUGCGCAGAUAUCAGGAGGAACACCGGUGGCGAAGGCGGGACUCUGGGCCGAUACUGACGCUGAGGAGCGAAAGCGUGGGGAGCGAACAGG